GCAGCUUAGUAGCAGAGUUCCUGCCUUGCAUGCAGAAGGUCCCAGGUUCAACCCCCAGCAUCUCCA